rnacentral:rRNA from 1 species
AUCUACACUUCUAGCUUCGUCGGCAGCGUCAGAUGUGUAUAAGAGACAGGGAGGUGACCUACCCUUGGCCAGGUUGAAGCAUGGGUAAAACCAUGUGGAGGACCGAACAGGUGAACGUUGAAAAGUUCUCUGAUGAGCUGAGGGUAGGAGUGAAAGGCUAAUCAAACCCCGUGAUAGCUGGUUCUCUUCGAAAUGCAUUUAGGUGCAGCGUCACGUGCUGAUGCGCGGGGGUAGAGCACUGACAAGGCUAGGGGGCACACCCGCUUACCAAACCUUAUCAAACUCCGAAUACCGUGCAAUGGAACGUGGCAGUGAGACAGUGGGGGAUAAGCUUCAUUGUCGAGAGGGAAACAACCCAGACCAGCAGCUAAGGUGCCUAAAUAACGCUCAGUGGAAAGGAUGUGGGAUUACACAGACAGUGAGGAUGUUGGCUUAGAAGCAGCCACCAUUUAAAAAAUGCGUAAUAGCUUACUCAUCGAGUGAUCCUGCGCCGAAAAUGAUUGGCGAUCAAGCGUUAUACCGAAGCUCUGGACUUUGCCGCAAGGCAGAGUGGUAGAAGAGCGUUGCAUGCGCGUCGAAGGGCGAUGGCGACUGACCCUGGAGCACAUGCAAGUGAGUAUGCAGACAUGAGUAACGUUAAGCCGGGUGAAAUCCCCGGCCGCCGUAAACCCGAGGUUUCCAGGGCAACGUGUUUCGUCCCUGGGUUAGCCGGGACCUAAGCCGAGGCCGAGAGGCGUAGGCGAUGGACAUCAGGUUAAUAAUCCUGAGCUCGCAACCCUUAAACUGGGGGGACGCAUGAGAAAAGAUGACUAGGUUAUUGAAUUCCGAGUUGAGUCUACGGACUCAGCGCAUCAUUGGAUCGAGUGCCAAGAAAAGCCCCAGCGUAUGCUAAGCGACCCGUACCGCAAACCGACACAGGUGGGUGGGUAGAAUAUACCAAGGCGUAAGAGUGAAACCUGGUUAAGGAACUCGGCAAAUUAGCCCCGUAACUUCGGAAGAAGGGGUGCCUGCAGCGAUGCAGGCCGCAGAGAAAUGGCCCAACCGACUGUUUAUCAAAAACACAGCACUCUGCAAAGACGCAAGUCGAAGUAUAGGGUGUGACACGUGACCAAUGCCGAAAGAUUAAGGCAAGGGGUUAGCCGCAAGGCGAAGCUCUAAACCCAAGUCCCGGUGAAUGUCGGCCGUAACUAUAACGGUCCUAAGGUAGCGAAAUUCCUUGUCGGGUAAGUUCCG